GGCUUGUUGAUUAUGAUUUCAAGUCUGACCUGCCCACUGAGUAAUUAAAUGGCCGCGGUAUACUGACCGUGCAAAGGUAGCAUAAUCACUAGUUUUUUAAUUGAAAGCUUGAAUGAAAGGUUUGAUGAGAAAUUAUCUGUCUCUGUAAGAAUUUAUUAGAAUUUUAUUUUUAAGUGAGAAAGCUUAAAUUAUUAUAGAAGACGAGAAGACCCUAUAGAGUUUUAUAUGAAGAUAAAGCAUUUAAUUUUCUGGGUUUAUAAAGGUUAAUUUUUUGUUUUUGUAUUUAGUUGGGGUGAUAGAUAAAUUUGAUGUACUUUUUUUGUACUAAAACAUUUAUUUAUGAAUUUUUGAUCCUGAUAUUUAGAUUAUAAGAUUAAAUUACCUUAGGGAUAACAGCGUAAUCUUUUUUAGAGUUCUUAUCGAAAGAAAGGAUUGCGACCUCGAUGUUGGAUUAAAAUAAAUUAUUGGUGUAGAAGCUAAUAUUUCAGGUCUGUUCGACCUUUAAAAUUUUACAUGAUCUGAGUUUAGACCGGCGUGAG
rnacentral:rRNA from 1 species